GACGAACGCUGGCGGCGUGCUUAACACAUGCAAGUCGAGCGGAAAGGCCUCUUCGGGGGUACUCGAGCGGCGAACGGGUGAGUAACACGUGAGUAAUCUGCCCUUCACUCUGGGAUAGCCACCGGAAACGGUGAUUAAUACCGGAUACGACACGUCCAGGCAUCUGGUGCGUGUGGAAACUUUUUGGGUGGGGGAUGUGCUCGCGGCCUAUCAGCUUGUUGGUGGGGUAAUGGCCUACCAAGGCUUCGACGGGUAGCCGGCCUGAGGGGGUGACCGGCCACACUGGGACUGGGACACGGCCCAGACUCCUACGGGAGGCAGCAGUGGGGAAUAUUGGACAAUGGGCGGAAGCCUGAUCCAGCAACGCCGCGUGAGGGAUGACGGCCUUCGGGUUGUAAACCUCUUUCAGCACCGACGAAGCGAUCCUUUUGGGGAGUGACGGUAGGUGCAGAAGAAGGACCGGCCAACUACGUGCCAGCCGCCGCGGUAAAAC
rnacentral:rRNA from 1 species